CUUUACUGAUGACUUCCCAUCUGUGCCUUCAUGUCUGGGUCAGAGAAGGCCUGUGGUGGAACCUAGAUUAAGG